AACUCUCCAAAGUCGCCAGAGCUCAGAUCACAGUGUGACAGCUUACCCUGUAGCACACUCGAUCGCCAUCGAUCGAGGUAGCCCCUGCAGGGUGGAGACGACGGCGCCUUUCACCAGGCCAGCACGAGAGAGGGAGAGGGAUCAGAGGUGUGCGCGUGCGCCGUAGCUUGUAGCUAGGGAAGAGCUAGGGAAGCUCGGAUUGGGACAUGCUUUAGCACGCCAUUGGCUGCUUUGGGUGGUGCUGCCGGCCGGGGAGAGGGGCGGCUUUAGGGUAGCUAGCCAUUAGGCCACCACUUUAGGCGCAAUAUAAAACUAACUUGCAUCAAAAGGUUCAUCCUUUAAUCCCGCCCUUGGGAAGUAUUCUAGCUGGUGUCUUGUGCUCCAUGUCCUUUGUUCUUUCGGUCUUCCUCCUUUGUAGACCAUGGCAGGACUUUUUGGUGAGCAGGAGGGGCAAGUGGCCAUGGAGUUGUUGUGUACAUGUUCUGGAGUGUUGCGCAGACGCGCAGUAGUAGAGAGAUACGUCUUGCCCCUCUCAUCUAUAAAUCCACCUUCUGCUCUUUCUUCUACCUCCAUCCAUCACAACUUUUGCACUGUUCUUCCUCUUUUCUCUCACUAACCCUAGCUUCUAGCUCCCUCUAGUAGUCCCCUUGUCUUUGUUCCUGCUUGUGCAUGCCCACCAGAUAAAGCUCUAGUUUCAUUUGUUUCUAGCAUUAUACUGGUCUAGAUGGAAUUAAUACAUUCAUUUCUGUUCUCUUGGUCGAUCUUUCUUGCACAGUUUUGUGAAUAAUGGAUGUGAGAGAUGGUAUAUAGGUUUGAUCAAAUUGAGAUUGUGUGUGCCUGGCUCCCUGUAUGCCACACACGUAGCCCAACCCGUGGUGUGGUUGCCUGCUGUGGGUGGCGUGCAAGGGGCCAAGCAUGCAUUUUUGUUUCCAUCUUCUGUCACUUUUUAUCUCUACUAUAUAUGUUUUCAUGUGUUCUUGUUUUUAUUUUGUUUGUUCUUGCUUGCUUGUUCAUGUGCUUCUCCGAUCCAGUUCUUGGAUCCUGCCAAGUUAUUACCUAACUAGCUUGCUCCAAAAAAAAUCAGUAAGGUUAUCACUUGUGAUUUUAAUUUAGUUUGCGGUUUUGAGCGCAUGAGGUGAGUAUGUUCAUGUUUUAGUACAUAUUUAAAUUCUUGAAAACAGCCAUAAUGAAUUCUUUAUAAAAAAAGAGUCUUGAAUUCCCGGCUCGUUUGAGUACAUUGAAGGAAACAUUUUUCUUUUGAUCGAUCAUGCAACUCUUCUCAAAUGAAUACAAUGAGGAAUUAAUUAGUCUGGUCAAUAUCAUGUUUCGAUUUGAUUUGUCCUACCUACUGUUUCUUUCAUUAUGUUCGACUUCAAUACCAACUCAGAGUCUAUUUUAUUCUUGUGUGUUCCAAGGCGCACGUGCGUCUUGUGCACAGCAUUCCUAGGAUUUUUCCCAUUUUCCUUUUUUAAAAUGAAACUUUCAUGCAUGCAUUUGGCAUUUGUGCAGCAAAUGACAAAGGCAUAAGCAAGACUCGGUUCCUGCUAGUUCACAUGAAGCAAGAAAUUCGGUUAGUGGUUUCUCUCGUUUCUUUCCUCAACUGUUGUUUUCUCAUAUAAUUUGUUCUUAACAUUAUAUUUCAAAUAAUUAGUCUUUGUCUCCAGUAGGCGUAUCAUAUAUAUGCUUGCAAGUAUAAUUUUACUGCCUCCGGUCAUAUAUAGUUGACGUUUCAGACAAUCAGACAACAAAAAGUAACUAAAUGCAGAUCAAAUAAUUAGCUGUCCAAAUCGACAUCAUCUAAUUAUGACCGGAGUUUUAAAAAAGAUUUACCUGAAGGGAGUAUCUGUCAAGAACUGCUUCUAGCUAACAUAGUAAACAUUAAGAGAAGGAAUUUCCUCAGAACUUAAUUGAUCACUUUUUUUGCAAGAUAAGGUUAAUUCUGAAUAACAUAUAAUGCUUGAAGUGAUUAAAUGUAAGUUAAUUGACAGCCGGAAGCCGGAAACAAUGGGUUAUGAAGUAUUUGUCCAUCGUCAUUUCUACUACUCCCUCCGUUCCAAAUUAUAAGUCAUUACAAGAAUCUUGGAGGAUCAACAUUUUUCAAAUUUGACCAAAUUUAUACAACAAGAUAAUAACAUUUACUAUACCAAUUAAGUAUUAUUAGAUUCUUUGUUAGUUAUAUUUUCAUAGUAUACCUAUUUGAUGUCAUAAAUUUUUUUGCUUUACUCUAUAAUUUUGGUCAAACUUUGAGAUGGUUUGACUUUCCAAGAUUCUUGGAAUGACUUAUAAUUUGGAACGGAGGAAAUAGCAGGUAGAGACCGGCAGAUGUAUGCUGGCCUGUGAUGAUGUGCAUUGGUCUCAACCAUGGAGCUGUUCAAAUGAGCUGAGUGCAUCAGCGUUCAUUUUCCUAGCAGACACCGUAUCCAAGCUUAACACCCGUUGCAAGACCGCGGCCAGGACGACUCAAUCAGAUCCAAGCUGCGAGCAAACGCAUGUCAUGCUGCACUGCAUAACUAACCAACCAGUAACAGCACCAGUAGUAGUACUGCUGCAGUACAAGCAACAGCUCGCUAGGGCCCACCAGCCAGCACCACAAAUGAUCUGUUGAUGAUGAUCGACAUGGCAAUGCCAGGGCCCACCUGCGCCAUCUCACUCUCAUCAACCAUGUACGUGCUAGCUCCUGCCUCCCUGGCCAGCCAGCAGCCAUUGUUGCGCUGCAUGGAGCCAUGGACCACCCGAGCGAAGCAGUUCUUCAGUGGCAGCUUGCAGUAGCAAAGCUACUAACGCUGCAGUUCUACGAGCAAGAACGCAUGGAGGGAUUUGCCAUGAUCUGUUGGUGGCCGUGUUGGAGUCCUCGGUGAUUGGAGCGAGCACCUGGGUCCCCGUCUUGCCCAAUUGUGGCGAUGGAGACGGCAUGGCAGUUGCCUCUGCUUGGAGGAACCCAUGAACACCUGCCUAUGAGACAAUACAUCAAGGCAGCGGAGACUGUGGACCACCUGCUUCUCCAUUAUCCGUUUGCUGCUUCUUUCUGGCAACGCCUGGGAAUCCAAAUGGAGCCUGAUGCGGCCGCCUGCAAUCUCCAUCUCCCAAAGCCGAAAAACUUGCCGGCGGCUCACUUUGAUACUUUUGCCUUGCUAUGCUGCUGGCACCUUUGGAAGCGUCGCAAUGGGAUCGUCUUUCGGCAAGAGAGCUUGAACCUUCCACAAUUUUUGCAGAAUUGUAAACUUGAUGCUAGAGCGUGGAGCUGUCGCCUCCCGCGGCAGGAUAUGGGAGUUAGUGACCACUGGUGCAACGCUCUUUCUUUAGCAAUGUAAAGCUACAAAACACUUGUAAAAUUUUUCUAUCCGGCCAUCAUGGGCCAAAUAUAAUGGAAUGAUUUCAGGUGGGGAUCCCCCCCCCCCCCGCGUUGACCCUUCAAAAAAAAAAGACAAUACAUCAGUGUCCCAGUUAUCCAAAGUGAUACCUGAACCGUUGCUGAAAGUAACUGUCAGUGUCCAGGAAGCAGGAGCCAGAAAUCAGCCGGCUCUUUACCGGCCGAACAGAGGGAAAGAUGUGGAUCACAUUACCAUUACAAUUUACAAGGCAAUAGCCCAUCAAUAGUAUGCCAUGAAAUCUGUAACAGUAUACUAUAGCUGGGCCAUUAUGUAUGUGUUUAUACUGACAUGAGUUGAAAUCAUUCCAAAUUAGUUUAUCACCCAAAAACAGGUUGUACAUGUACAAUGAAAAUGUGUAAUCAAUCUAGUAUUGUACAUACAGAAGUUGUUCCCUCA